rnacentral:rRNA from 1 species
AAGAACCUUACCAGGCCUUGACAUGCAGAGAACUUUCCAGAGAUGGAUUGGUGCCUUCGGGAACUCUGACACAGGUGCUGCAUGGCUGUCGUCAGCUCGUGUCCGUGAGAUGUUGGGUUAAGUCCCGUAACGAGCGCAACCCUUGUCCUUAGUUACCAGCACGUUAUGGUGGGCACUCUAAGGAGACUGCCGGUGACAAACCGGAGGAAGGUGGGGAUGACGUCAAGUCAUCAUGGCCCUUACGGCCUGGGCUACACACGUGCUACAAUGGUCGGUACAAAGGGUUGCCAAGCCGCGAGGUGGAGCUAAUCCCAUAAAACCGAUCGUAGUCCGGAUCGCAGUCUGCAACUCGACUGCGUGAAGUCGGAAUCGCUAGUAAUCGUGAAUCAGCAUGGCGCGGUGAAUACGUUCCCGGGCCUU